GUGAACGCUGGCGGUAGGCCUAACACAUGCAAGUCGAACGGCAGCACAGUAAGAGCUUGCUCUUACGGGUGGCGAGUGGCGGACGGGUGAGGAAUACAUCGGAAUCUACUUUUUCGUGGGGGAUAACGUAGGGAAACUUACGCUAAUACCGCAUACGACCUACGGGUGAAAGCAGGGGAUCUUCGGACCUUGCGCGAUUGAAUGAGCCGAUGUCGGAUUAGCUAGUUGGCGGGGUAAAGGCCCACCAAGGCGACGAUCCGUAGCUGGUCGGAGAGGAGGAUCAGCCACACUGGAACUGAGACACGGUCCAGAGUCCUACGGGAGGCAGCAGUGGGGAAUAUUGGACAAUGGGCGCAAGCCUGAUCCAGCCAUACCGCGUGGGUGAAGAAGGCCUUCGGGUUGUAAAGCCCUUUUGUUGGGAAAGAAAAGCAGCAGGUUAAUACCCCGCUGUUCUGACGGUACCCAAAGAAUAAGCACCGGCUAACUUCGUG
rnacentral:rRNA from 1 species